GGACAGGGGUCCGGGGUCUGGCAGGCUGCGUGGGCGUGCCCUGAAUAUUUAAGGGCCAGCUUUUGUUUGAGUUAGCUUUCUGUAGGAGCUUGGAUGUGAGCUGUGGUCUGAGCUGAAAUGUUCGGGAAAAGACUGAAAAAAUGUGGGCUGCUUACCUAGAGAUCAGCUCUCUCUAUCAGGUCGAAAGCAGACUAGUAACCUCAUCACAAAUAUUCUAUCUCCAUAUUCAUCUACAAUACAGUUCAGGCUUGCCUGAUGUAUCAGUGGACACCCUCAGGAGCUUUACAUGGCGGGGAGAAGAAUCUCAGUUCUUGAUUAUAAGAGAUUGACAUGUUGGUCAUGAACACAGAAG
ensembl:lncRNA